UCUUCGCUAGUAUAUCGGUUAGUACACGCGCCUGUCAACCCAUUGAGUUGGACGCGCGAAAGCUGGGUUCGACUCCCAGGCGAAGAG
rnacentral:tRNA from 1 species